rnacentral:rRNA from 1 species
UACGUAGGGGGCAAGCGUUGUCCGGAAUUAUUGGGCGUAAAGAGCGCGUAGGCGGUCCGAUAAGUCGGCUGUGAAAGUCAAGGGCUCAACCCUUGGAAGCCGGCCGAUACUGUCGGACUAGAGUCCGGAAGAGGCGAGUGGAAUUCCCGGUGUAGCGGUGAAAUGCGCAGAUAUCGGGAGGAACACCAAUUGCGAAGGCAGCUCGCUGGGACGGUACUGACGCUGAGGCGCGAAAGCGUGGGGAGGAAACAGG